AAUUUGUUUGUAAUCUCCAAGAUGCAAAAACCAUUCUGUGAGGAAUCCUGUCAACUGAGCAGCAAAUUCUCUAAGACUUUAUUCCCUCUAUGCUCAAGGUUUAGUCAUUUAUAAAUCAACCCAUGCUCCAAAAUCAAAUAUUCACCUCUCUAUUGUGUAGCAGGGAUAUCAUCAAAUGUAAAUCAAGGUCCACCACUAGAACGACUAUA
rnacentral:misc_RNA from 1 species